rnacentral:sRNA from 1 species
AGCAGCCGCGGUAAUUCCAGCUCCAAUAGCGUAUAUUAAAGUUGCUGCAGUUAAAAAGCUCGUAGUUGAAUUUCGGGACUAAUAUGUCGGUCGUGCCUCGGUACGUACUGGUUUAUUGGUUUCUCCUUUCUGAAGAACCAUGAUGUCAUUUAUUUGGUGUCGUGGGGAAUCAGGACUGUUACUUUGAAAAAAUUUAGAGUGUUUAAAGCAGGCUCACGCUUGAAUACAUUAGCAUGGAAUAAUGAAAUAGGACGUUUGAUUCUAUUUUGUUGGUUUCUAGGAUCGACGUAAUGAUUAAUAGGGAUAGUUGGGGGCAUUAGUAUUCAAUUGUCAGAGGUGAAAUUCUUGGAUUUAUUGAAGACUAACUACUGCGAAAGCAUUUGCCAAGGAUGUUUUCAUUAAUCAAGAACGAAAGUUAGGGGAUCGAAGACGAUCAGAUACCGUCGUAGUCUUAACCAUAAACUAUGCCGACUAGGGAUCGGAUGAUGUUAAUUUUUUUAAUGACUCAUUCGGCGCCUUA